GUCUCUUUGAUUUAUUUAAUAAAGAGUUGGGCCUGCUCGGUGAGAUAUUUAACAGCUGCGGUAUUAUAACUGUACUAAGGUAGCAUAAUAAAUUGCCUUAUAAAUUAAGGCUAGAAUGAAUGGUUUGACGAGAAUUGAACUGUCUCUAAUUUAAUUAAUUGAAAUUAAUUUUUAAAGUGAGAAAGCUUAAAUAAUAUAAAGGGACGAGAAGACCCUAUUGAGUUUAUAUUAUGUUUUUAAUUUUAUUUAAAUAAAAUUAAAUAAUAAUAAUUUUUGGUUGGGGUGAUCAAGGAAUAAAUAAUUUAUUUAGUAACUUCCUUAUUGUGUAUUUAUUUGUGGGUUAAUAAACCAAAUGUUUUGAUUAAAGGAUAAGUUACCAUAGGGAUAACAGCGUAAUUUUUUUUGAGAGUUCAUAUUAAAAAAAAAGGUUGCGACCUCGAUGUUGGAUUAAAAUAACCUUAAGGUGGAGAAGCUUUAAAUGGUGAAUCUGUUCGAUUUUU
rnacentral:rRNA from 1 species